GGUAAGAUGGCUGAAGGUUAAGCGGUGGGUUGUAGCCCCAUACAUGGAGGUUCAAGCCCUCUUCUUUCCA
rnacentral:tRNA from 1 species